rnacentral:tRNA from 1 species
UCCGAUAUGGUGUAGUGGUUAACAUCCCGCGUUUUCAUGCUUAAAAAACAGUUCCGCGGAGCCCGGGGUUCAAUUCCCCGUAUCGGAG